AACGAACGCUGGCGGCAUGCCUAACACAUGCAAGUCGAACGAGACCUCCGGGUCUAGUGGCGCACGGGUGCGUAACGCGUGGGAACCUGCCCUUAGGUUCGGAAUACCUCCCCGAAAGGGGUGCUAAUACCGGAUAAUGUCUUCCGACCAAAGAUUUAUCGCCAUUGGAUGGGCCCGCGUUUGAUUCGCUAGUUGGUAGGGUAAAAGCCUACCACCGCCACGAUCCAUAGCUGGGCUGAGAGGAAGAUCAGCCACACUGGGACUGCGACACGGCCCAGACUCCUACGGAAGGCAGAGGUGGGUAAUAUUGGGCAACGGGCGAAAGCCUGAGCCAGCAAUGCCGCGUGAGUGAUGAAGGCCUUAGGGGUGUAAAUCGCUUUUACCCGGGAUGAUAAUGACAGUACCGGGAGAAUAAGCUCCGGCUAACUCCGUG
rnacentral:rRNA from 1 species